UACGUAGGGUGCGAGCGUUAAUCGGAAUUACUGGGCGUAAAGCGUGCGCAGGCGGUUUUGUAAGCCAGAUGUGAAAUCCCCGGGCUUAACCUGGGAAUGGCAUUUGGGACUGCAAGGCUUGAGUGUGGCAGAGGGGACUGGAAUUCCUGGUGUAGCGGUGAAAUGCGCAGAUAUCAGGAGGAACACCGGUGGCGAAGGCGGUCUCUGGGCAUGACUGACGCUGAGGAGCGAAA
rnacentral:rRNA from 1 species